rnacentral:misc_RNA from 1 species
AAUUAAAAGAAGGCGUUCACUCUUGUUUACGCUGUUUAAGCGACGCUUACGGUAUCCUAGCUCCUAUGAUCAUCCAGCUCUGGAAGCUUAAAAUCUUCGCCUCUUCUUCGCCCGGAAAAUCGCUCUAGGUCAAGAGAAAUUGAACUUAUCUUUGGAAGCAUAGAUAAACGAUGGCAGAUCCUGAGAACCCAGAUACCACAGCUAAAUCUGACGAGGCCCCCGCGGAGAGAUCCGGAAGCGGAGGAGCUGGAUCUGGGGAUAUCGGGCUAACUAUGUCGUAUAUCAUGUCGAUUCCCGGAAUACUUAAGAUCGUUGAAUUUUUCACGCUGUUGUUGGCAUUCGCCAUAGCUGCUGAUGUGUAUUACGGACGCUCGGGAAGGAUGGAUUUCUUCCUCUUUGUUACUGUGACGUCAUGGCUUCUUGUGAUCGCCGUAUUUCUCUUGUUUGCAUUCAAUAUCAUAGCAAAAAUCAACCUCAGUAUUGACUGGAAUAUCCCGGUUUUUGUAUUUGCUGUUGUAGCCGCAGUUCUUCUUCUGUUGAGUUCUGCCUUGAUAGCUGAUACGGUAGCAGGUUUUCGUGGUUUAGCGGUGUUUGACAAAGUACGCGCUGCUGCAGCUUUUGGAUUUAUCUCCAUGUUCGUCUUCAUCGCAGAUGCUGUUGUUUAUUUCCUGAAGAGAACUGGAAGGAUGUAAACCAACGCCCACAUUUUGAUUCACUGUGUGGUCCUGCGACUUUGUUUAAACUUUUUAAUAGCUAUUUCGGUCACCGUUAAUUUGAAUUUAAUCGUUGUAUCUAUAUACCUUUCCUCUAUAACGAAUGAAAAAAAUCUAGAAAUAGACAGGGAGAAUGCGUCUAUUUAACCCUUUAACUCCAAGAAGUGAUUAAGAUGUAACUUCUCCCUACAAUAUCCAUACAUUAUCCAGUACACAGGUAAUGAGAAUACCCAAUCUAAUCAGGCAGUGUGAGUUGUUUUUAUCUUAAGGCAAAUUCUCGCAAAUAAUUUACGAGGAAAUAUGUAGCAGCCAGAGGGGAGAAUUAGCAAUCAGAUCUUGGGAAAGGGUAACGGUUGAGAGAACGAGUUAUAGCGUAAGCAACUCGCUAUCAUGCACUGAGCCGCCAUGUUUGAUCUGGGCCUCGAGAGCCUGCUGUCUCUUCCACCCUCAGCGGCAUCAGAAUCCUAAGAAAUGCUGCCUUUGCUGCGAUGCUAGAUCUAAAAUUAUACGCCUGCACUACAGGCAAAAAGUAUAUUUAGCUAUAGUCAUUCAAAUAAUUUCUUAGGUAGCGAUACAAUCUGAGCGUAUAUUCUACUUUUAACCAAUCACUAACGAGUAUAUUCCAUAUGAUUAUGCUCUUAUUAUGAAAUGGGCAUUGAACAACGGCAACACUGACUUUGGCAGCUUCCUACUAAUUUUUAUGCCAGUCAUUAUCAUAGUAGUUUAGAAUCUAUUGAUAUCGUGCUUUAAGCUAUAAUUCACCUCAAUCAAACAAUCAACCCACCUAACAAAAUUAAGUUAAUGCAAGUAGUCGUCAUCAAACCCAUGCGGAAAGAAAGAAAAAAAAGAGAUUUUCUCAUCGUUUAGCGCGUUAAUAAGGCCUUAAAACCUUCAGGGAACUUGACAUGUGCUGUAAUAGUACCAUAAAUAUAUGCUUUAUUUUCUCUGGUAUAACUAAUGGCAGUUUUAUGCUAAAAUCUCUCUGACUCCUCGUAAUUAUGACUAAGGAGUGGAGCUCAUUGUGUCUUCAAUUAAACCUUGUGUGAACCACGA